AGAGGCAAAAAAAGGACGGUUCUGUCCAGCGCUGCUAGUCACUUUCUGCUGUCCGCUGUCGCCUGAUUUCUUGCCCAGUUCCCCAUCCUUCCACGGAGAGGCAAGCUAGAGCCAAAUGGGAAGCCAGCUCUUCUUGCUUUGGAGUUUUUUCCAGGAGAGACAGGAACCAGAGGCCCUACAGGGGAACAGCCCCCUGACCUUCCAGCCGAGCAACUCUGAUAAGUAGGCAGGCCCCAAGCCUGGAGACCUACAGACAAGCCGGGUGAUUCCGAUAGAAAGUAGUUAAGCAAUCUUGUCCCUGGGGCUCACGGCCCAGCUCUGAGUGUGAGCCUCUGACAGACACUGGGCUCCACAGCCACAGUCAUGGCCAACAGGACCGACGCCUCUGUCCCGUUCACCAGCUUUGAGUAUUACCUGGACUACAUAGACCUCAUUCCUGUGGAUGAGAAGAAGCUGAAAGCCAACAAGCGCUGUUACUGGAAACCUUUCCAGUCAUAACAGCUAGCAGAGACACCAUCAAGUCGCUGGCCCUGUGAUGCACUGUCUGCUGACUUCUGGCUGAGGACCAUUCUGCUGCCUGUCUGACUCAGCUGAUUCUGUUCCUUCCUGCAGAUUCCAUCGUCAUUGCCUUGUGGUUGAGCCUGGCUACUUUCGUGGUGCUCCUCUUCCUCAUUCUGCUGUACAUGUCCUGGUCAGGCUCUUCACAGAUGAGGCACAGUCCCCAACCCCACCAAAUAUGUCCAUGGACUCACGGCUUCAACCUCCCCCUGUGCCUCCGGAGGGCCUCCCUGCAGACAGCAGAGGAGCCAGAAAGUAGAGCUGCCACUGACCAAUGGUUACAGCAGCAGAGUCCUUCUGCCUCACUCCCUGGGCCCCUGGCUCUCCCCUAGGACCAGGUUCAGGAUGGGGGGGGGGGUGUCCCAGGGCAUCAGCUGACCUCACGUACAAGCAGUGGCGAGCCUGGAGACAUAACUUCUCAACUGUAGAACUGAUGAUGCCAGAGAGCCAGUUGUGUUCAAGCAAACCAGUGAACUCACACCAACCUGGCCAGCUAUGUCUUUUUAAGGCCAUCUUAAAUGUAGCAAGAAACUGACCAGGACAAAACCAAGUUUACAAAGAGAACCAUCACACAUAUUAAUAGCCCAGCUAGGAUGGAGAAGUUGCCCUAGACACAGCUGAGUCUGUUGAGCGUGCUUAACCUGUUUGUUGCUUACACUUGUUUUGGGAUGCACAGGAAAAUAAAACACGGAUUAAGAAAAAAAAA